UGAAUGCUUCACAUAUGUAUAUAUCUCAAUGUAUUAUAGUUGAUUUUGGAGAAUAUCCGAGAACAUAACUAAAUAGAAUUUGAUGAAAUCUUGCCACUUUGCCAUCUGAGCAUUGCCUUUGUGCUAAAGGGAUGAGGUGGGUUGGUGUAAGAUUGCUUUGAAUAAGCCAGGCGGGCUACAAGUUUUACCUAGAGGUCUUUUCCAGCAACGGACAGUUCUAACACAGCUCCUAUGGCGGCAAACUCAGAAGAUCCAUCACUUAGCAUGCCAAAAAUCACAUCUUUUUCCUGUUCAUCGCCUAGGAAGGGGCACUUCAGGAAUACUGCUAUGUGCAAAGAUAAAUCAUGCCAAAAAGCAACUUGCAGCAUAUUUUGCUGAUGGGACAUCCCAUAUUGGAGAUGACAGUGACACCAACAUGAAGCUUCUUUGAUCAAUAAGGAAAAUCUCAAAGAUAUACCGGGCCCUAGGGACUGGGAUACUUUGUGAGGAGGAGGUUCUACAAGGUCGUAGGAAAUAAGAUUUUGAUCUGGUUUCAGG